UACGUAGGGCGCAAGCGUUGUCCGGAAUUAUUGGGCGUAAAGAGCUCGUAGGCGGUUUGUUGCGUCUGCCGUGAAAUCCCGAGGCUUAACCUCGGGCCUGCGGUGGAUACGGGCAGAAUAGAGGUAGGUAGGGGAGAAUGGAAUUCCCGGUGUAGCGGUGAAAUGCGCAGAUAUCGGGAGGAACACCGGUGGCGAAGGCGGUUCUCUGGGCCUUACCUGACGCUGAGGAGCGAAAGCGUGGGGAGCGAACAGG
rnacentral:rRNA from 1 species